AUUGAACGCUGGCGGCAUGCUUUACACAUGCAAGUCGAACGGCAGCAUAGGUGCUUGCACCUGAUGGCGAGUGGCGAACGGGUGAGUAAUAUAUCGGAACAUGUCCGGAAGUGGGGGAUAACGUAGCGAAAGUUACGCUAAUACCGCAUAUGCCCUGAGGGGGAAAGGAGGGGAUCGCAAGACCUUUCGCUUUCGGAGUGGCCGAUAUCGGAUUAGCGUGGUAGGUGAGGUAAAGGCUCACCUAGGCGACGAUCCGUAGCUGGUCUGAGAGGACGACCAGCCACACUGGGACGGAGACACGGCACAGACUCCUACGGGAGGCAGCAGUGGGGAAUUUUGGACAAUGGGCGAAAGCCUGAUCCAGCCAUGCCGCGUGAGUGAAGAAGGCCUUCGGGUUGUAAAGCUCUUUCAGCCGGAAAGAAAUCGUACUUAUUAAUACUAAGUGCGGAUGACGGUACCGGAAGAAGAAGCACCGGCUAACUACGUGCCAGCCGCCGCCGUAAGAC
rnacentral:rRNA from 1 species